AUGUCGACCCGGUCUCGGACCCAGGCGGCCCCCAGCUCCCCGUGGCGCCUGCGCAGCAGGACGGGGCCCUGAGGGGAGCCUGGGCUCUGAAUCUGCAGGAACAGCUGGAGGCAGCCACCCUCAGACCCGUGCAGACCACCCCCAGCUCACCCAGAAGUCUCCCCGGAUGCGGCCAGUGGCCACCACCAGCUCCUGCCAGCCUGGGCCCCAGGGCCCAGAGCUCUGCCACAGGGUCAGCGUCUCGGCCCUGUGGGUCAGCUCUAGCCGCAGCUCAGCCACAUCUGUAAGUGGGGGGGUGGGGGGUCCUGGGGCGGCUUGGGCCCCGCUGCUUCCCGCAGCCUGCUGGCUGGGCCCUGCCCUAGGACCCUCGUCCCUCCCUUGAGGUACCUUCCCGGUCUCUGCGGCGGCCCUCCGUCCUUUCCCAGUCCCUCCCCUCGGGGCGCCCCACCCUGGUGGAGGAGUCCUGGGCACCCACCUCCGGUGGCCGUGUGGUGCCAGAGCCUCAGCUCACAGGUGGGGGCGGCGUCGUGCAGGACAGGGGAGCGCAGGGCUGCCGUGGACGCCUCUUUCCCGCGGUGCGUGCCAACAGCCGUGUACCAGCCUGGCCGGCAGAGAGGUCAGGAAAUGGGGCUGGAAGUGAAGGGGGGAGGGGGCAUCACGGACACCCGCCGGGGCCUCACCGAGGUCUGUGCCGAGAGUGUGGUCUGAGCGCGGCCCCAGAGGCUCCAGUGUGGCUCCUGCCCGGUCUCGCAGCCACCUGUAGCCUGAGGUGCUGAUGUCCCGCCAGCCGCAGGAGUCUCGCUCGAAGUCACAGGCAAAGGGGGCGCCCGGGGCGGGCGAGACCCCGUGGUAACCUGGAAAGUGGGGGGCUCAGGGCUGUCUGUAGAGGGCUGGCCUGCCCGCCCCCUGCCCGCCCCACCGGGCCCCAGCUCACCGCACUGGGCCUCGUCGGAGCAGUCUGGGCAGUCACACACGAAGUUGCAUGCGGCCUCGCUGGGGGCCCUGCAGUCGUUGGGGACCCAGGCCCGGCCUGGGGGCCCUGCUGCUAGGAGAGAGACAGGCGGGUGGCCUGGGGCGGGGUGACCCCCCCCCCCAUCCCAGGCGGCCCAGGAUACUGUUCACCUGCUCUGAGGCCUAGGCCGAGAGGUCAGGGAGGGAGGGGGCUGGGUCCUGCCAGCUGGGGGCUCCCGUUCAGGGCCAGGCAGGGCACACCUGGCCCGGGAGAGGCGGGCUGCACGUCAGGAUGGGGGCGGGGGGGUUGUGAGCAUGGGACCAACGGUCCCCGACAUGGGACACCCCCCGAGGAAGGGAGCAGGAACCCAACAAGGAAAUGCCCCCGGCCCCCUCAGGCUCCAUUUGGUCCAAGAGUGGCAGACUAGGCUCUGCUUCCAGGGCCCUCUUGCCCUGGGACCCGGGUGACACUGGGGCCAGGUAAAGCAGAAUUCGUGCCCCUUCCCCGAUGGGGCAACCCCCAGGCCCCCAAAGGCUUGUCCUGGGCACCCCCCGAAGGCCGGCCAGGGCCUUGCCCCUCUCCUGGGGAGGAGACCUGACACUCACCCAGGAGCAAGGCCAGCAGGAGGUGGCGGGGCAGACGCAUGGUUGGGCCGCGGGAGUGAGGCCGAGGGACCGCGCACUCCAGGCGGCCUCGCAGGGAUUUCGCCCGGUUAUCUGCCUGUGGCCCCGCAGGCUGAGUCUGCUCUGCUUGGAGGGGGGCCCUGGCCCCUUCUGUACCCGCUGCCUGUCAGCAGGCCCCGCCCUGUGUCGAUGAGGACGAACGUCCGACUGUAAAAGCGUCCAGGAGAGGGGCCCCUGGCCCAGGUAGGCUCCCACCCGCCCGGAUCCUUCUGACCAAAGGUCAGGCCUCAGUCAUCACGCCCACCGCCCCAGCCCUGCCUGGCGGAGGCCCCACCAGAGGAAGCGCCCACUCGGGCUUUGUCUCCCAGAGCUGGGGGCAGGAGCCCAGCACGCACCCCCCACCUGUGCCCCCAGCCCCACGUUCCGUGCCUCCCUGCCCCAAGUGACCAGGGACUUCGUCCUUCCCCACCACAGUCUGUGGCUGCCUGUUUGCUUAUUCCUUUGUAAGGGACGAUCAUUUAUUCAUCAACAACCGUUCUGAUUAGCGUGGCUGGGUGCUGCCGGGCACAGGGCAUUUACCACCGUGUGACCUCGGUCUUACCAGAUCCUGUCUCCUCAUCACUAAGAUGUGGUCACAACAGCCCGGAGAGGCCACCGUGAACUCACGGAAGGCCUGCGCCAAGAUGGCACCCGUGCUCACGGGGAGCCACAGAGACAGCUGUGCUCGGCUGUCCCCUCAUCCACACAUCCACUUGCCACAGCUCGUCCCCCCUCAGCCCUGCACUGGGAGGAGAGGAGGGGGUCCUGGAGGGGGGCUCCCGGCUCCAAGCCUGAACCCUCAGAGCCUGUGGCUGCAGGGCGGGUGCCAUGGGACCUGGUCUUACAAGGGGUCUGGGAAACUUCACGUGACUUCAAACGGCAGAUCACGAGGGGACACUGAUGUCAGCUGGCCCUGGGGGACCUGGUGCUAACUCCUUGCGCAAGGGCUCAUCAAAGAGCUUCCUCCCAGAUGUCCUUGGACACAGGAGGGGUGGAGAGGAGCAAUCAGGCCAUAAAUGGGGGCAGCAGCCCAGGGGCCCCCUUAUCAGAGCACAAAGGGCUGAGUGUGCACGCCACCCCCCACCCCCCGGGGCCCCCAGAUGUGGAGCCAGGGGAGGGACAGCCAGUAGGGGCCCUGCGGCUACCAGGGCCGCCUCCAGCUCUCUGUCACCCACACCCUCCGGCCAGGGGUCCCCAGGGGUGACCGGGAAGCAGACAGAUCAAGACACACACACAUCUGAGGAAGAGCAGGGGUGAUAACGUUUUUAAUUCCUGCAGGUGAGGUAAACCUGGGCGCUCGGCCCGGCUGCUGUUGGUCUCCAAGGCCUGGCCCGGGGUGCAUAGCGCCAGGGGGUAUAGUGGGUCGCUCGGGCAGGCCUCAGUAACCGUCGUCGGCCCAGGUGACCUCGUAGUCCGG